rnacentral:rRNA from 1 species
CCUACGGGCGGCAGCAGUGGGGGAUAUUGCACAAUGGGGGAAACCCUGAUGCAGCGACGCCGCGUGUGGGAAGACGGUCCUCUGGAUUGUAAACCACUGUUCUCAGGGACGAAGAUGACGGUACCUGGGGAGGAAGCUCCGGCUAACUACGUGCCAGCAGCCGCGGUAAUACGUAGGGAGCGCGCGUUGCCCGGAAUUACUGGGUGAAAGGGGAGCGUAGGCGGGACUGCAAGUUGGGUGUCAAAUCUACCGGCUCAACCGGUAGCCGCACUCAAAACUGCAGUUCUUGAGUGAAGUAGAGGCAGGCGGAAUGCGUGGUGUAGCGGUGAAAUGCGUAGAUAUUAGGAGGAACACCAGUGGCGAAGGCGGCCUGCUGGGCUUUUACUGACGCUGAGGCUCGAAAGUGUGGGGAGCAAACAGGAUUAGAUACCCCGGUAGUC